UAGUAGAACGAACAGAGAAAACAAAGGAGAUUCUGCCCGGCAAUAAAACGAAUGAAGUUGUAGUAACAGAGAAAGAAGAAAAACUACCUUCACAUGAAACCAUCAAGGAGGCAAAAGAGGAGAGUAAAAACGUUACAGAAAAUGGCGAUGGACCUCUGGUAAUAGAACGAACAGAGAAGACAACGGAGAUUCUGCCCGGCAAUAAAACGAAUGAAGUUGUAGUAACAGAGAAGGAAGAAAAACUACCUUAUCAUGAAACCAUCAAGGAAACAUCUGUGGAGAGUAAAAACGUUACAGAAAAUGGCGAUGGACCUCUGGUAGUAGAACGAACAGAGAAGACAACGGAGAUUCUGCCCGGCAAUAAAACGAAUGAAGUUGUUGUAACAGAGAAAGAAGAAAAACUACCUUCACAUGAAACCAUCAAGGAAACAUCUGUAGAGAGUAGGAAUGUUACAGCAAAUGGCGAUGGACCUCUG